UACGGGGGGGGGCAAGCGUUGUUCGGAAUUACUGGGCGUAAAGGGCUCGUAGGUGGCCAACUAAGUCAGACGUGAAAUCCCUCGGCUUAACCGGGGAACUGCGUCUGAUACUGGAUGGCUUGAGUUUGGGAGAGGGACGCGGAAUUCCAGGUGUAGCGGUGAAAUGCGCAGAUAUCAGGAGGAACACCAAUGGCGAAGGCAGCUCGCUGGGACGGUACUGACGCUGAGGCGCGAAAGCGUGGGGAGCAAACAGG
rnacentral:rRNA from 1 species